CAGUCGCCGCGGGAAUACGUAGGUGGCAAGCGUUGUCCGGAAUUAUUGGGCGUAAAGGGCUCGCAGGCGGUUUCUUAAGUCUGAUGUGAAAGCCCCCGGCUCAACCGGGGAGGGUCAUUGGAAACUGGGAAACUUGAGUGCAGAAGAGGAGAGUGGAAUUCCACGUGUAGCGGUGAAAUGCGUAGAGAUGUGGAGGAACACCAGUGGCGAAGGCGACUCUCUGGUCUGUAACUGACGCUGAGGAGCGAAAGCGUGGGGAGCGAACAGGAUUAGAUACCCGGGUAGUCCCUGUCUCUUAUAA
rnacentral:rRNA from 1 species